UAGCGGAGCCUUGUUCAAAAUCAGACGACUUAUUAUGUAAAUAAAUAAAAAUGGGUAGCCUGCAAUGGUUUCUACUUUUCUUCGUAAUUCUUUUCUUUGUUUUUAAACGUCUCCUUUUGUAUGCGUUAAACUUGAUCUUCACCCACAAGCUGAAAAUCGAAGUUCGUCUUGGUCAAGUCGCACUUCUCCCACCUUCUGUUCAGAAUACUUAUUUUCUGUUCAAAAAUUUCACUGUUCAUAUUGAUAAAGUGAGACUAACAUCAUCAUUUGUAAAUGCUGACACUAAGAGAUUACUGGGAUUGCUCAUAGAAGAUGUCAGAUUUACAAGAGAUUGUAGUGCUAGUAGAAAUACAUCACACGAAGCUUCCAUACUAAACCCAAGUGAAACCAACAGAGUUAAUCUGCUUGAAAAAAUUUUACCUGUUCUGACAUCAUUUGUUCAGUUUAUGUGUGUCUCAAUCAGCAAUGUGACAAUUGUAGCUCAGUUGAACAACAACCAGCUAGUUCAUGCUUCUAUCAAUAACCUGAGUUUAGAUGGAAGUAUUUUACCACGUUCACAGAUUGCACUCUGUGGGCUAGUUGAUGCAUUUUCAUUUCGUCUUCUACAGACAGUAGCCACCAAUGAAAGGGAAGGAAAAAUCACUCAUUCAUCACAUUCUAUUGAUACAAGAUCACGGCAGCCUUGUUUAUCAGAAUUUUCAGUUGGAGUACAAUCUGAAAUUCAUGUUGACCCAGUUUUACCAGCUGUCACGAAAUUAAUGUUAAAUAUUUCAAAUCCAAAACUGUCUGUUAAUGACAGACUUUUGAAGGCUCUUGAAGCAAAAAAUGUUCAAGAAAGUGGUCCUCUGCAAAAGAACCACUUGACAAAUUGGUCUCUCUAUUUUCCUCGCAAAUGCGAGUUCAACAUCUCGGGCAUCGAAAUUAAAUUGUACAGACAUGAGGACGAAACUUUUUUCGUACGUACUUCUUUAAAUCUCUUGGAAGUGACGGCAGAUACAACUUUAGAUAGUAGAAGUGGCGACAGUUUAUUUGACACGAACGUUAAGCUACACACUCAAGUGUUGUAUUCAGAAACGAAAUCUGGGCGGUGGUUUAAUUUGAGUGAAUUGGACGCAACUGUUCAGGUUUUCUCUGGUAACAUCGAUUCAACAGUGAACGCAAAUCGCAUAGCAAUUGUUUAUUCAAAUACCGAGUUGUUACCUUGGCUUAAACUGAUACCUUUCAAGAAGAAAAAAGCCAAACCUGAAGAUAAAACUGCAUCUUCCCGGCAAACCCCACUUACGCUCAAUUUUGAAGUGUGGGACCUUUCCGCUGUAGCAUUGUUUCAGGAUGCAUUACCGCUGCGCAGUGGCAUAACACACGUGCAGAUUCAACUAGUCGAUCAUCCGGCUACUGGUGGAUUAAGUUGUGAAUUGGAAGGCGAAACUGUCUGGUGUUGUUUAGGAAACAGAACGCCGUCUGAUCCCGGUCAAAAGAAAGUUCAUUUCUGGAAUUCGCCUCUUUACAUCGGACUCGUAAUUGGAAAAAUUGAAAGGCGUUUAGGAGUCCUUGGAAUGAGUGAUUCGAUGCAUAGCCAAUUAUUGUUAGAUGUCCUCCGCUUCGAAUGGUCACCAAAUCUUAUCGAAACUAUUCUUACAAUUCGGAAAGAUCUGCCGCGGUGGGGGGAAGUUGAAGGUGCAUCGGUUCCAGAAGAAAAGACCCCAAUGCGCCUUUCGCAUUCUCUCACAGUGGCCAGCGCUAAUAUUUUCUUGAUGAUGAAAAAAGAAUGUGCUUUAAUGCUCCGCGUCGAUUCUUUAGCUGCUGACCAACAACCAGACAAAAUGGUAGCGUCUAUAGAGGGGCUUAAAGGGCUUUUUAUCGUUCCCGGAGCUCCUUUUAGUUGCGCUAAAUCGUUUGAAAUUAAGAAGGGAAACCUUGAAUUGUUGCGCCUGCAGUUAUCGUUGCGCAAAUCGUCCCAAUCGGGGACCAUUGACGUGGAUCAGCUUGGCCUUAACUGGGAUACGCGUCUGCAUAUGGCUGUCUUACAAGUGAUUGAAGAAUGGAAAGGCUUCCGUGAUCAUUUCACUCAAUCGAAACCUGUUAAAACCUCAUCUUCCAAUCAGUGUGAAUCCGAAACCAAGCAAAGUUGGACCGUUUCCCUAAAACACAAAACUACCAUAUGUGCAAUACUUUCUCCUGCUCACACUAUGCAAUUUCAAGCUGACGACUCACGAGCAGUCGUCAACGGCCAUCAGAGAACCACGUUUGAAUUGAAUUUGCCGCGCUGUGCAUUACUUUUUGAUGGCCAUUCCAUCAUUGAAGCCGAAGGAUUGAAUUGGAAGCUGGCCGACAACGAUCUAGAUCUCAAACAAGAAAGACUUAGCUUUGAUUGUCAAGCAAUCACAAACAAAUGUGGACUUGUCAGUAUAGCCGGUUUACGUGUUUGCUUCCCCUAUCGCUACCAAUUUUCCGAAGCAUGUCAACAGGAAAUGGUCAGCGUCUUCAAGUGGCUAAAAUCGUUGCACAAAAAACCACGACCUGCUGGAUAUGUAGAACCUCUUUAUCGUGACAUCCGUCUAUCUGUCGCGAAAUUCUCGAUGGUCUUAUGUGACGAUCCGUUUGAGGUAAAGCUUCGCGAUAACUACGAAUUGCGAGAAGAUGAAUUCCGUGAGAGCCUCAAGCGUAAACGAAUGUUGGAUGCAAAAAUCGAAGAGUUGCGAAGAACACAUCCACUUUUAACGCAAGGCAAAAUUGAUGAACUGUAUGCGAACUUAGGGGGUCGGAAUGUGGAAAUAUUUGUCCAGCGAGCACAACGUAUGUAUGAGACAAGACCCAUGCGAACAGCUUUAUUUCGCUGGGAAAUGGAGCAAGUUGAUAUCGUGGCUUUAGCCGAUCCAUCUUUCCACGGCUACGCCAAUGUUGUUCGUAAUAUUCAAGAAAUGGAUCCGGAUAGCCCGUGGCCCGAUGAAGCAAUGGAAUUCACCACGCUUUGGUGUCGUGCUGUCCGCGCAACCUGUCGUCAAUGGCGAUUUUUACUUCGAGAUUUCCCUCAACCUCUCCUUGACAUUCACGAACUGCUCUUGUUCGGUCGACUGGCUGGGGCUGAACAGCAAUCGUCGUGGAGAGCCCGACGAACUUGUAACGUGUUCAUAGCACCUCCUUGGAGCGAUGUUGAAAUUGAACGGGGAAUGAACCAACUUAAAUUUUAUCAUGAUUUUUCGUGUGAUGCCGAAAGCUGGCGGCUGGCCUAUGGAACUUGCUGGGAACCGGUAAUAGCACAAUGCAAUCUUGCUUGGGAUUUUGUUUCUCCUCCGUCCAAGGAUCCUAGUCCAGCCUUGCCCUUCUGGGACAAAAUGCGUCUACUUUUCCAUGGUCGCAUAACUCUGUCCGUCCAACAGUUAACUCUUCUGCUUCACACAUCGUUGGAUCCUUAUAACACUACAGAAGAAAUGGAAUUAACAUGGACGGAUCUGGCUAUGGAUUGGACCAGUGCAAAUUUCAUUCUGAAAGGCGAGUUCAAUGUCUAUGUUCGGACGGCAUCCAAGUACGAUGAUUGUCGCUUAUUACAUUUACCGCGACUAAAGUUGUCGAUUGGAUUGACAUGGCACUGUUUGGCUGAUCCCAAUGACCACCUUGCUGUCCAACCAUGUGCUCCCAACAGAAUCCCAGAGUAUUCCAGCAAUCAGGAACAUGAUUCCUAUCGCGCUUUCCGAUCACAGAGUGUUACGUUGGCCGUUUCGUUAGAAACCAAAGCAAGUGUUAGUAGUUCGAGUAGCAGCGCAGCUGAAGUCCAUGCUCUGGUUUACGGCUCUACAUUACGGUGGUUCGAAAACCUAAAGUUUAUACUUUCGGGUGUAUCGAGACCUACCCGCCGCGGCCCAUUAUUUCAAAAUACCAAGCCCCGUAAAAGCCAGCUUUCACGCCACUAUAAGGCUGUGCGUUUGGCUUUGAGUCUUCACCGCUUCCACAUUUACUACUGGAUGUCGGCGUCGAUGCAACGAGGGUUCGAACUCAUUUGUGGACGAUUGACAUUGAGCUCGGAACAUGCGUUACGACUAGUCCCUGUUGAAGACGGGCUCAAGCAUCGCCCGCGAGCUGAUUGGUCCAUCGUCUUUUUAAACUGCGAAUUAAAUGAGGCUGAAGUCUGGCUUCAAAGUGCUCUUGGUAGUGACAGUGAUGAUAACGCAGAGUUAAACGUGUCUCUACGCCAACCAGUAGAGAAAUUUUAUUUCCUUAGUGUCCAACGAGUCUCGUACGGCCGAGAAGCCGUUUUGACACCGCCUUUCGUAGCUCCCGGAACAGCUUCGAUUGUACCGACACAUCGCUUGGUCGUGCAAGAUUUGCGUGCCGCAUGGACAAAGAGUAACCGUCAAGUGGCUUUCGCUUUAUACGAUUCUUGGGUUAAAGCGCAAGUGCUAAAGAGAAAUCUUUCAGCCGAGGUGAUGAAGCUUCUCAGGAUGCCAGAAUCGAGUGUCUCACCCAUGAAACCACGAACAGCAGCCCGGAUUAGUACAGAAGGUGCGCAACCCACUCCCUGUAAAUCAAACACAGGCAGUACUUCCAGCAGCUCUACCACGUCGACUGCUGCAACAGCUUCAACACCAGUAGCCGAUUCGAUGCUUCAACAACUCUUGGCCGACCAUCGAAACGUAGUAUUCAGUGAGGACCUUAGCACAACUGGCAGCCGGCCGGCUGUCACUGGAACGAGUACUAGUGAGGGGCAAGAAGGCGUCCACCUAAACUGGUUAAUUGAGCUUGUUAACAGCCAGGUGUUGUUGAAAGGGUGUGAAACAAAGGGAUACAUCAUUUUGGCAGCUGCUCAUGCCAAAAUUCUGCAAAGACUUCACCCGCCUGUCUGGCGUGAUAGAAGCUUAGUCUCUAAGACUUCUUGGGUCUGCUCGUUUGAUGGCAUGCAGUACUUUGCCACCAUAAGUGCCGGAGAGCAGGACGCUCUCGACGAGAACAUACUUUGGCUCAGUACUGAUCAUAUUGGCAGUGCGGCUAGAGCAGAAAGCCAAGCGCCAUCAUCACUGGAUUGCCUUCCCGACAUGGUUGGAAGUGGCCAGAGCGUCGGAGGAGUCAUUUCAGAAACUGUUGGCGGAUGCGACUCAUCUGCUCUUCAACUACAAAGGAUCGUUUCCCGUUGUAACUGUGAGAUGGUGUAUGUCAGCUAUGGACAAAACACUUUAGAUCUGGAUCACGAUCUAGAAGGGCUUAUGGAUAUACCUCCGCCUCCAAGUGACGAUGUUAUGGAUUUGUGGGCCCAACGAGAGCAGCCCGUCGAUUCGUUCACUCUAACGCAUCACGACCUAAACAUUUGCACCAAUUCCCUUCAGUACGAAAUGUUAUUGGACGUCAUCAAUAACCUCCUGCUCCAUGUCGAACCCCAUCGAAAAGAAGCCAGUGAACGAUUGCAAAGGUUACGCUUUCAACUGCAGCUCUCUAGUACCGAAGAUCAGCGACGUCCAGUUCAACAAAUUCAGAACCAACUCCGUUCGCUUAUUUCUCAGCUUAGGCGUCUGGAGAAAGAUACCUUUAUGAUCCAGCGUGCCCUAGCCGAAGAUCCGUCAAACGCACAGCUCAUUGCUGAAUUUGAAUCACUCGAACGCAAAGUAUAUGAAUGCAAGGAGCAGUUGAACGCGGCAAAUGAAGAAUUAGCCAUGAUGGUAUCAUGCCUUAAAGAGGUUCAAUUAACUGCUCACCAGCGUCUACAAGCCGCCCGACAAGGCAGUAAUGUCACUACCGUUCGGACAAGUCAAAUCAAUUUUAAGCACGCUCAAUGGCGACUUACAGAAGCUGACGGCCAGCUUGGAAUUGCCGACGUCGUACUUACAAACUUUUUAUACAACAAGUUAUCCAAAAGUGACGAUGCCUGCGAGCACUCGUUGGAAAUUGGUUAUGUCAGCUUGGCCAAUCUAUUGCCUAAUCAAAUCUACAAGCAAGUCAUCGUUCCAACCGAACUGAACCGCAAUAUGCCAGUCGACCGACAGGUCGCCGUGCGUAUGUUUUCAAGAGAUAAAGCCCCUGUCGGAGGUAUUUGCAUCAAAGAGAUCUUUGAAGUUAAUGUCGUGCCUUUCACAUUUGCGAUGACUUAUCAAUUUUUCAAAACGAUGAUGCGCUUCUGCUUCCCUGAAAAGGACCCCGAAACAUUAGACGGAGAAGGUGAGCAUUCAGAGUCCUCGAAUGUGAGCCGUAAAGGAGGCAAACAUUUUAGCAACGUAAACAAGGCUAAACGAGGCAAAGAGUCGAGUUUCUAUGUUCCGAUUGAAGACGAUGUUGAAAAAAUGAAGGAAAGGGCUGAAAAGAACAAAUUAUUCAUCUACAUAAAAAUCCCCGAAGUCCCUGUCAAGGUUUCCUAUAAGGGAGGAAAAGAGAAAAACAUCGAAGACGUCCAUGAAUUCUCCUUGGUUGUCCCCACAUUGGAAUAUCAUAACGUCACAUGGACAUGGCUUGAUUUAUUUCUUGCCAUGAAAAAUGAUUCUAAACGUGUCCUUCUCUCACAAGCAAUAAAACAAAAACUACAAAUACGGCCUCGCUCUCACGUUGAGGAGGGCGGUACACCGCAGGAAGAAGACAAGGCACGUCUACUUUUGGGUGGACUUUCCAUGCCCGGUGAUGCUCGUUCCAGCAAAAGAGGGGGAUUUUGGAAACCUGCAAAGUAAUGGCUGGUUUGGUACUUCACUACGUUUUUCCCUAGGCAAUUGGAAACAUCAUUUAAAAUUUCGGCUCAUCUUUUUGUUUUAUAUUGCAAAUCGGCACAAAUCUGAAAAUGUAACGUUUGCUAUUGCAGACGAUGCCACCAUGAACCCUAGUUUCUAGCUCAGUGAAGUAAUUUUCAAUGUGCUGGAAUUUUUCUUAGAA